AUAUUUUACCUGAGGUAGGUUUCUUAAACCUUAUGUGAAGAGCUCAUAUUUCCACUAUCCCAAUUGAAUUUUGUAGUUGGCUAGUGUUUUUACUAUAUCCGGAUGCUCAUCUAAGACCAAUCCACCCCUUGGUAAUGUAGAGUUUAAUCACAUUUUUUGUUUGUGUUUGUUGAGUUAAUACCCUGAGAACAUCUUAUAUCCGUAUGUUUAGAUCAUCUUGAGUGUUGAAUUCUUACAUCUUAAUCAUUUUUUACUAUAUUUUAUUUCUUGAUGUUUUAAAAUUAGAUUACAGUUUGGUCACUGAAUUUUUAAAAUAAAAUAUAUUUUAUUUCUUUAGUCCAUUAAUUAUUAUAUUAUAAACACUUUAGUCCUUCAAAAUCUAAUUUUUCAUUGAUGGUAGCAUUGGGACCAAAUGUGCUAAUUUUGAAACAGUAGGGAGCAAAAUGUAUUUUUCGG
rnacentral:misc_RNA from 1 species